UGGGGAAUAUUGCACAAUGGGCGCAAGCCUGAUGCAGCCAUGCCGCGUGUAUGAAGAAGGCCUUCGGGUUGUAAAGUACUUUCAGCGGGGAGGAAGGGAGUAAAGUUAAUACCUUUGCUCAUUGACGUUACCCGCAGAAGAAGCACCGGCUAACUCCGUGCCAGCAGCCGCGGUAAUACGGAGGGUGCAAGCGUUAAUCGGAAUUACUGGGCGUAAAGCGCACGCAGGCGGUUUGUUAAGUCAGAUGUGAAAUCCCCGGGGUCAACCUGGGAACUGCAUCUGAUACUGGCAAGCUUGAGUCUCGUAGAGGGGGGUAGAAUUCCAGGUGUAGCGGUGAAAUGCGUAGAGAUCUGGAGGAAUACCGGUGGCGAAGGCGGCCCCCUGGACGAAGACUGACGCUCAGGUGCGAAAGCGUGGGGAGCAAACAGG
rnacentral:rRNA from 1 species